GCGCCAAUGGCCUAAUGGAUAAGGCGUCUAACUUCUAAUAAGGCGAUUGUGGGUUCGAGUCCUACUGGGCGUG
rnacentral:tRNA from 1 species